rnacentral:rRNA from 1 species
GAUGAACGCUGGCGGCGUGCCUAAUACAUGCGAGUCGAGCGAACAGACGAGGAGCUUGCUCCUCUGACGUUAGCGGCGGACGGGUGAGUAACACGUGGAUAACCUACCUAUAAGACUGGGAUAACUUCGGGAAACCGGAGCUAAUACUGGAUAAUAUAUUGAACCGCAUGGUUCAAUAGUGAAAGACGGUUUUGCUGUCACUUAUAGAUGGAUCCGCGCCGCAUUAGCUAGUUGGUAAGGUAACGGCUUACCAAGGCAACGAUGCGUAGCCGACCUGAGAGGGUGAUCGGCCACACUGGAACUGAGACACGGUCCAGACUCCUACGGGAGGCAGCAGUAGGGAAUCUUCCGCAAUGGGCGAAAGCCUGACGGAGCAACGCCGCGUGAGUGAUGAAGGUCUUCGGAUCGUAAAACUCUGUUAUUAGGGAAGAACAAAUGUGUAAGUAACUAUGCACGUCUUGACGGUACCUAAUCAGAAAGCCACGGCUAACUACGUG